UGGGGAAUUUUGGACAAUGGACGCAAGUCUGAUCCAGCCAUGCCGCGUGCGGGAAGAAGGCCUUCGGGUUGUAAACUGCUUUUGUACGGAGCGAAAAGGUCUGCCCUAAUACGGUGGGCUCAUGACGGUACCGUAAGAAUAAGCACCGGCUAACUACGUGCCAGCAGCCGCGGUAAUACGUAGGGUGCGAGCGUUAAUCGGAAUUACUGGGCGUAAAGCGUGCGCAGGCGGUUAUAUAAGACAGAUGUGAAAUCCCCGGGCUCAACCUGGGAACUGCAUUUGUGACUGUAUAGCUAGAGUACGGCAGAGAGGGAUGAAAUGCCGCGUGUAGCAGUGAAAUGCGUAGGUAUGCGGAGGAACACCGAUGGCGAGGGCAAUCCCCUGAGCCUGUACUGACGCUCAUGCACGAAAGCGUGGGGAGCAAACA
rnacentral:rRNA from 1 species